AAUCAACUUCCAAGGCUGAAGAAGCUCCCUUUCGCUCUGGAGUACGGACGUCUUUUGCCUAGAGAUGGCCAAGGCACAGGAAAAGAGAAAUCCGGCUAAGAUGCAGGUCCUCCGCCCAGUUCUUCUGGAGCCAGUGAAGGGCAGGAAGUAUUUCCAGAACUGCUACCAGGGUCUCAUCAAAGCAGCGAUGCUCAGGCAGAAGCAUGCAAGACGAAGAGCUGAAAGUGUUACUAAAAUUCAAGUGUGGUGCAACCCAGAGCGCAGCUCCCAGAGGCAGCGAACAGACGCAGCAGUUCGCGCAGCAGUUCGCGCAGCAGUUCGCGCAGCAGUUCGCGCAGCAGUUCGCGCAGCAGUUCGCGCAGCAGUUCGCGCAGCAGUUCGCGCAGCAGUUCGCGCAGCAGUUCGCGCAGAAGGGUGCGCGAAGGGACGUGCGAAGGGACCUUCAUUUCUGUUCCCUGUGGUGUACACUUCCUCAAGUAUGGUCGUGACACGCCACACAGCGCGUUCCCCAGUGACUGUUGGAGUUGCUGCAUCAGAGGCUUGGACCCAGACCGACCCUCUGACAGUAGAUGCGGCUCUACAGGUCUCAGGCUGCAGGGAGUGCUUGGGGCCUCUCCGGGAGGCCUGGGCUGGCAGCCAGCUCUCCUGCAGGAGGUGUGCUGCUGUUGACGAGUUGUGUCGUCAGGUAAGGGAGUUACGGGAGGAGGUCAGUAGGCUGCGCAGCAUCCGAGAAGCAGAGCAAGAGAUAGACAGGGUAUUCUCGGAGACUGUACAGCUCCAGGAGUCCCAACCCCCUGCAGCAGUGGMGUUGCCAGAGGGCUCUGUGCCGUGUGAAACGGUACAUCAUAACAUCGUAGAAGAAGGCUGGAAACUGGUCACUGCUCGUGGGAGGAGAAAGGCUCCUACUCCUCCU
rnacentral:lncRNA from 1 species